UGGGGAAUUUUGGACAAUGGGGGAAACCCUGAUCCAGCCAUCCCGCGUGUGCGAUGAAGGCCUUCGGGUUGUAAAGCACUUUUGGCAGGAAAGAAACGUCAUGGGUUAAUACCCCGUGAAACUGACGGUACCUGCAGAAUAAGCACCGGCUAACUACGUGCCAGCAGCCGCGGUAAUACGUAGGGUGCAAGCGUUAAUCGGAAUUACUGGGCGUAAAGCGUGCGCAGGCGGUUCGGAAAGAAAGAUGUGAAAUCCCAGAGCUCAACUUUGGAACUGCAUUUUUAACUACCGGGCUAGAGUGUGGCAGAGGGAGGUGGAAUUCCGCGUGUAGCAGUGAAAUGCGUAGAUAUGCGGAGGAACACCGAUGGCGAAGGCAGCCUCCUGGGAUAACACUGACGCUCAUGCACGAAAGCGUGGGGAGCAAACAG
rnacentral:rRNA from 1 species